rnacentral:rRNA from 1 species
AUACGUAGGUGGCGAGCGUUGUCCGGAAUUACUGGGCGUAAAGGGCGCGUAGGCGGAUCGUUAAGUUGGACGUGAAAUACCCCGGCUCAACUGGGGGGCGACGUUCAAAACUGGCGGACUAGAGUGCAGGAGAGGAAAGUAGAAUUCCCAGUGUAGCGGUGAAAUGCGUAGAUAUUGGGAGGAAUACCGGUGGCGAAGGCGGCUUUCUGGACUGUAACUGACGCUGAGGCGCGAAAGCUGGGGGAGCGAACAGGAUUAGAUACCCUGGUAGUCCCAGCCGUAAACAAUGAACACUAGGUGUAGGGGGUAUCGACCCCUCCUGUGCCGCAGCUAACGCAUUAAGUGUUCCGCCUGGGGAGUACGGCCGCAAGGUUGAAACUCAAAGGAAUUGACGGGG